AAAAUGACAAGUUUGACCUCAGAUCA
rnacentral:rRNA from 1 species